AGCUCCAAUAGCGUAUAUUUUAGUUGUUGCAGUUAAAAAGCUCGUAGUCGCAUUUCUGGCGAGAGGAUCCGGUCCGACCUUUUGGUGGGUUCUUGGGUCUCUUUCGCCAUCCUUGAGUGGUCCGUUCUGGCAUUAGGUUGUCGGAGCGUCAGCCGCUCAUCGUUUACUGUGAGAAAAUUAGAGUGUUCAAAGCAGGCUUAUGCCGUUGAAUAUAUUAGCAUGGAAUAAUAAGAUAGGACCUCGGUACUAUUUUGUUGGUUUGCGCACCAAGGUAAUGAUGAACAGGGACAGUUGGGGGUAUUUGUAUUUCGUUGUCAGAGGUGAAAUUCUUAGAUUUACGAAAGACAAACUACUGCGAAAGCAUUUACCAAGGAUGUUUUCA
rnacentral:rRNA from 1 species